CAGUGGUUAUUGUUGCACUGGUUCAGUGCACUGAAGACACAGCACAGCACAGGCCGGACAGCACAGCUAUGGUAGUUCCAUAACAGACAGACAGCCCAAAGAAAUCAGAGCCGCUUUGUGAACAGAGAUGGCAUUUCUUCGCAGGGCCCUGGAUGAUAUGGACCCCCCUGCCUGCCUUUACCCCCGAAUACUGAGAUGAAAGGCAUGUGCUAC